rnacentral:rRNA from 1 species
UACGAACCGAGCGAACGUUGUUCGGAAUCACUGGGCUUAAAGCGCGUGUAGGCGGGCCGGUGCGUCGGUCGCUGAAAGCCCCCGGCUCAACCGGGGAAGCGGCACCGAGACGACCGACCUGGAGGGGGGUAGGGGGACCUGGAACUUCCGGUGGAGCGGUGAAAUGCGUUGAGAUCGGAAGGAACGCCCGUGGCGAAGGCGAGGUCCUGGACCGUUUCUGACGCUGAGACGCGAAAGCCAGGGGAGCGAACGGG